GGAUCAAUCUGUUGGUCGUGCCUUUGGUACGUACUAGCUUAUUGAUUUCUCCAUUCUGACGAACCAUGAUGUCAUUAAUUUGGUGUCAUGGGGAAUCAGGACUGUUACUUCGAAAAAAUUAGAGUGUUUAAAGCAAGCUAACGCUUGAAUACAUUAGCAUGGAAUAAUGAAAUAGGACGCUCGAUCCUAUUUUGUUGGUUUCUAGGAUUGACGUA
rnacentral:rRNA from 1 species